GAACGCUGGCGGCAUGUCUUUACACAUGCAAGUCGAACGGUAACGAGGCCGUUCGGGUGCUGACGAGUGGCGGAACGGUGAGUAAUGCAUCGGAACGUCGCCCAAUCGGUGGGGAUAACGUAGCGAAAGUUACGCUAAUACCGCAUAAGCCCUGAGGGGGAAAGCAGGGGGAUCGCAAGACCUUGCGCUGAUUGAGCGGCCGAUAUCAGAUUAGCUAGUUGGUGAGGUAAAGGCUCACCAAGGCGACGAUCUGUAGCGGGUCUGAGAGGAUGAUCCGCCACACUGGAACUGAGACACGGUCCAGACUCCUACGGGAGGCAGCAGUGGGGAAUAUUGGACAAUGGGCGCAAGCCUGAUCCAGCAAUGCCGCGUGUGUGAAGAAGGCCUGCGGGUUGUAAAGCACUUUCAGUGGGGAAGAACAGAUUCGGGUCAAUACCCCGGAGCCCUGACGUUACCCACAGAAGAAGCACCGGCUAACUCCGUG
rnacentral:rRNA from 1 species